UUUAUUGGAGAGUUUGAUCCUGGCUCAGGAUGAACGCUGGCGGCGUGCCUAAUACAUGCAAGUCGAGCGAAUGGAUUAAGAGCUUGCUCUUAUGAA
rnacentral:rRNA from 1 species